rnacentral:lncRNA from 1 species
CCAGUGAAGGCAAUGUAACUGCAGAAGACACUGAGGAGGCAAGUAAGAAAAAAUCUUGGCCCCCGUGUAUUAAUUAUCAUUAGAUCACCCUUGUUGUAUACAGGAUCACUCUUUAUCAUUACUGCUGUAAAACCUGCUACAAUUGGAAGAGAAAAUGAUCUGGAGCAUACUCUUUGAAUUCCUGAAGUUGCUGUCAGUAAGUUUCAGCAAAAAUUUAUUCUGACCAUGAUUUACAAAGUUAUGUCCUUGUAUAUCAAGGCAGUCAAAAUGAAACAAUUGUUAAUGGAAAACGGAUUGUUCGGCUGACAACUAAAUGUGAGCCUUAUGUACCUAAGCAUAGACAUGAAAUGAAAAUUGGAGAGACUAGGUUACCCUUUCACAUUCACCCUGGCAGUGAUACUUGUGAUGGCUGUGAACCACAGCAGGUUGGAACUCACUUUCACCUUGAUAAGAGAGAGAAUUGUUUAUUGAAUUAAUUGUUUACAGCUAAGUAGGGGAAAAAAGAGUUGGAAAUAAGAAAAUAAUUUUUAAAAUGUGAGUAAAGUAUGUUUUACAUUAUACAGACUAUGAAGAUGAAUAGACAUUGAAGAACCUGAAACAUAAAGAUACAGCUGGAAAAAGUAAGGAGCCUAUUGGAAGUGAAGAACACUUCCAAAGAGUUGAUGCACCUGCAUCUGUUCAUUCUGAAAUUACUGACAGCAACAAAAGUCAGAAGAUGUUUGAGGAGGUGGGUUGGAAAAAAGAAGAGGGCCUGGGGAAGGAUGGUGGAGGAAUGAAAACUCCAAUUUUGCUUUAGCUUUAGCAGACACACGUAGGCUUGAGGACAGGCAAUUCCUCCUCAAUUGAAGAUGUUCACCUUCUCCAAAACAAAAACAAACUGGGACAAAGCAUGAGAUAGGUUUUCUGAAAAUUUCCCAGAAACUAAACCUUGAAAAGAUGACCUAGGGACUAGGCCUUGGGUAAAAAGGGGCUGUCG